UCCUGCCGGAGGCCAUUGCUAUCGGAGUCCGAUUUAGCCAUGCUAGUUGCACGAGUUUAGACUCGUAGCAUAUAGCUCAGUAACACGUGGCCAAACUACCCUACAGACCGCGAUAACCUCGGGAAACUGAGGCCAAUAGCGGAUACAACUCUCAUGCUGGAGUGCCGAGAGUUGGAAACGUUCCGGCGCUGUAGGAUGUGGCUGCGGCCGAUUAGGUAGAUGGUGGGGUAACGGCCCACCAUGCCGAUAAUCGGUACGGGUUGUGAGAGCAAGAACCCGGAGACGGUAUCUGAGACAAGAUACCGGGCCCUACGGGGCGCAGCAGGCGCGAAACCUUUACACUGCACGACAGUGCGAUAGGGGGACUCCGAGUGCGAGGGCAUAUAGCCCUCGCUUUUCUGUACCGUAAGGUGGUACAGGAACAAGGACUGGGCAAGACCGGUGCCAGCCGCCGCGGUAAUACCGGCAGUCCGAGUGAUGGCCGAUAUUAUUGGGCCUAAAGCGUCCGUAGCCGGCCGGACAAGUCCGUUGGGAAAUCGACGCGCUCAACGCGUCGGCGUCCAGCGGAAACUGUCCGGCUUGGGGCCGGAAGACCUGAGGGGUACGUCCGGGGUAGGAGUGAAAUCCUGUAAUCCUGGACGGACCACCAAUGGGGAAACCACCUCAGGAAGACGGACCCGACGGUGAGGGACGAAAGCUAGGGUCUCGAACCGGAUUAGAUACCCGGGUAGUCCUAGCUGUAAACGAUGCUCGCUAGGUGUGCCGUAGGCUACGAGCCUGCGCUGCGCCCUAGGGAAGCCGAGAAGCGAGCCGCCUGGGAAGUACGUCUGCAAGGAUGAAACUUAAAGGAAUUGGCGGGGGAGCACCACAACCGGAGGAGCCUGCGGUUUAAUUAGAUCCAACGCAGGAAACCCUACCGGGGCCGACAGCACAAUGAGGGUCAGCCUGAAGGGCUUACCUGAGGAGCUGAGAGGUGUUGCAUGGCCGCCGUCAGCUCGUGCCGUGAGGUGUCCUCUUAAGUGAGGUAACGAGCGAGACCCGUGUCCCAUGUUGCUAUGCGCUUCUUCGGAGGCGCAGCACUCAUGAGAGACCGCUCUCGAUAAGAGGGAUGAAGGAACGGGCGACGGUAGGUCCGUAUGGCCCGAACGCCCCGGGAUACACGCGGCCUACAAUGGUCGGGACAAAGGGACGCGACACCGAAAGGUGAAGCUAAUCUCCGAAACCCGGCCUCAGUUCGGAUCGAGGGCUGCAACCCGCCCUCGUGAAGGCGAAAUUGGUAGUAGUCGCUGGUCAUUAUCUAGCGGCGAAUACGUCCCUGCUCCUUGUACACACCGCCCGUCA
rnacentral:rRNA from 1 species